rnacentral:rRNA from 1 species
CACGUGGACAACCUGCCUCAAGGCUGGGGAUAACAUUUGGAAACAGAUGCUAAUACCGAAUGAAACUUAGUGUCGCAUGAUACGAAGUUAAAAGGCGCUUUGGCGUCACCUAGAGAUGGAUCCGCGGUGCAUUAGUUAGUUGGUGGGGUAAAGGCCUACCAAGACAAUGAUGCAUAGCCGAGUUGAGAGACUGAUCGGCCACAUUGGGACUGAGACACGGCCCAAACUCCUACGGGAGGCUGCAGUAGGGAAUCUUCCACAAUGGGCGAAAGCCUGAUGGAGCAACGCCGCGUGUGUGAUGAAGGCUUUCGGGUCGUAAAGCACUGUUGUAUGGGAAGAACAGCUAGAAUAGGGAAUGAUUUUAGUUUGACGGUACCAUACCAGAAAGGGACGGCUAAAUACGUGCCAGCAGCCGCGGUAAUACGUAUGUCCCGAGCGUUAUCCGGAUUUAUUGGGCGUAAAGCGAGCGCAGACGGUUGAUUAAGUCUGAUGUGAAAGCCCGGAGCUCAACUCCGGAAUGGCAUUGGAAACUGGUUAACUUGAGUGCAGUAGAGGUAAGUGGAACUCCAUGUGUAGCGGUGGAAUGCGUAGAUAUAUGGAAGAACACCAGUGGCGAAGGCGGCUUACUGGACUGUAACUGACGUUGAGGCUCGAAAGUGUGGGUAGCAAACAGGAUUAGAUACCCUGGUAGUCCACACCGUAAACGAUGAACACUAGGUGUUAGGAGGUUUCCGCCUCUUAGUGCCGAAGCUAACGCAUUAAGUGUUCCGCCUGGGGAGUACGACCGCAAGGUUGAAACUCAAAGGAAUUGACGGGGACCCGCACAAGCGGUGGAGCAUGUGGUUUAAUUCGAAGCAACGCGAAGAACCUUACCAGGUCUUGACAUCCUUUGAAGCUUUUAGAGAUAGAAGUGUUCUCUUCGGAGACAAAGUGACAGGUGGUGCAUGGUCGUCGUCAGCUCGUGUCGUGAGAUGUUGGGUUAAGUCCCGCAACGAGCGCAACCCUUAUUGUUAGUUGCCAGCAUUCAGAUGGGCACUCUAGCGAGACUGCCGGUGACAAACCGGAGGAAGGCGGGGACGACGUCAGAUCAUCAUGCCCCUUAUGACCUGGGCUACACACGUGCUACAAUGGCGUAUACAACGAGUUGCCAACCCGCGAGGGUGAGCUAAUCUCUUAAAGUACGUCUCAGUUCGGAUUGUAGUCUGCAACUCG